rnacentral:rRNA from 1 species
UACGUAGGGGGCAAGCGUUAUCCGGAUUUACUGGGUGUAAAGGGAGCGUAGACGGUGAUGCAAGUCAGAAGUGAAAGCCCGCGGCUCAACUGCGGGACUGCUUUUGAAACUGUAUGACUAGAGCGCAGGAGAGGUAAGCGGAAUUCCUAGUGUAGCGGUGAAAUGCGUAGAUAUUAGGAGGAACACCAGUGGCGAAGGCGGCUUACUGGACUGUAACUGACGUUGAGGCUCGAAAGCGUGGGGAGCAAACAGG